rnacentral:misc_RNA from 1 species
GGAAGUAAAAGUCUAACAAGGUUUCCGUAGGUGAACCUGCGGAAGGAUCAUUAUUGUAUAACCGAGGUGCGAGGGCUGUCGCUGACCCGAAAGGUCGUGCACGCCCGAGUGCCCUCACACACAUCCAUCUCACCCCUAUGUGCACCACCGCGUGGGUCCCCCUUUGGCUUGUUCGGAGGGGGGCUUACGUUUUCACACAAACUUUGUAUGCAGUGUAGAAUGUAUUUUUUGUUUUUGCGAUCACGCAAUCAAUACAACUUCCAACAACGGAUCUCUUGGCUCUC